UUUAUUAUUCAUAAUAUUGGCGAGUCUCGUUCAUCUUUAUUAUAUCUUCUAUUUAGGAAUCGUUCUCUGUUUUCGAUCAACAUCAUUCUUCGUUUCCGAUCAAUGUUUCCGAUCAACAUCGUUCUCCAUUUUUUAUCAACACGGUUCUCCAUUUUCGAUCAACAUCCCUCUUUGUCUGUAAUCGACCUCAUCCUCUUCCGUCUCCUAUUGAUCUCAUCCUCUUCCGUCUCUGCUCGACAUCGUCUCCUCCAUCUUCGAUUAAUCCAGUCUUCUUCGUGUCAGAGUUUCCGUCCUCUCUCUCCCACUCACUCUUCGAAUUUUUGAGCAAUUUCUGAUCUAGAGCUCCAAAUCCAAACCCUAGUCCAGAGUUUCCAUCUUUUUCAUGUUUACUUAAUAGUUCUAACAUAAGUUUGAGUCGAUUUAAUCAAUGAUUCGUAGCUUUCUUUUCUCUUAUUCUUCAAUUUCUGAUCUCAAUUUUAGUUUCUCUUUUUUUAAUUAAAUUUUCUCACGAAUUAAAGAAACCUCACAAAAUCAGGACAUGCUAUUUGUAAUGAAAACAAAUACGACAAAGCUUCUGGAAACCAAUGAGUCACCAAUUACACAGGUGACCCACAUGCAGUAAGUGGAGAGAUUAAUUUUGUUACUAACCAAGGAAAGCAUCAGGCUCAAGGGCUCAAGGGAUAUGUGAAAACAUGAGAUCUAUUUAAUGCUUGUAAUAAGAAUAUUGUGGGAAUGUGAGAAUUGUGAUCAUUUUUCUUUUUUCUCUCUCUCAACUCUUGUAUGAACUUUGGUUAAGUUGUCAUUCAAUACAUAUCUCCCUUCAUUUUUCCCAUUGUUGUA